rnacentral:rRNA from 1 species
CGACCGGCGCACGGGUGAGUAACGCGUAUGUAAUCUACCUGUAACAGAGGGAUAACCCGGAGAAAUCCGGACUAAUACCUCAUAGCACAUAUUAUUCGCAUGAAUUUUAUGUUAAAGAGACUCGGUUACAGAUGAACAUGCGUUCCAUUAGCUAGUUGGCGGGGUUACGGCCCACCAAGGCAACGAUGGAUAGGGGUUCUGAGAGGAAGGUCCCCCACACUGGUACUGAGACACGGACCAG